rnacentral:rRNA from 1 species
AUGGUCGCCGGCCGCCGUGCCACUGCCGCUCCGAAGCCCGCUUCCGCCGCCGAGGAGGGGGGCGAGGCGUACCUGCGGAUCCAGCUGGAGGAGAUCGUCAUCGUCAAGGACGACGCCUACGACGCGCUCGCCGCCGCCACGGCCGCCGCGCAGUCCCGCGCCAACGGCAACGGCCAAUGCGGCGGCGGCGCCACCACCACGGGCACCGCGUCCACCGCCAUGGAGAAUUGCGCGAGGGCGGCCGCGGCGGCGCGCGUUGGGAGCUCGACGAGGCCUGAGGCCGCGCAGGGCGCGUGGACCACGGCGUCGAGGGGCGUUGGCUUCGACUAG